rnacentral:rRNA from 1 species
GACGAACGCUGGCGGCGUGCUUAACACAUGCAAGUCGAGCGAGGCCCUUCCUUCGGGGAGGUGUUCUAGCGGCGAACGGGUGAGUAACACGUGGGCAACCUGCCCCUGGCUCUGGGAUAACUACCAAGAAAUUAGGGGCGUAAUACCGGAUAUGACCGCUGACCGCAUGGUCUGGUGGUGGAAAGAUUUAUCGGCUGGGGAUGGCCCGCGGCCUAUCAGCUUGUUGGUGGGGUAGUGGCCUACCAAGGCGACGACGGGUAGCCGGCCUGAGAGGGUGACCGGCCACACUGGGACUGAGACACGGCCCAGACUCCUACGGGAGGCAGCAGUGGGGAAUAUUGCGCAAUGGGCGAAAGCCUGACGCAGCAACGCCGCGUGGAGGAUGAAGGCCCUUGGGUUGUAAACUCCUGUCGGCUGGGAAGAAAUCUUCCCGGGGCUAAUACCUCCGGAGGUUGACUGUACCAGCAAAGGAA